UAGAUAUAAUUUGGAAGUUUCGUUGAAGGCGGAAACUACCAAUGAGGAGGAUGACGAUGAAGAAUAUAAUACAAUGGCACUACUAGAACUAGCUCAAUGUGUACAAACCAAUCAUGAUCCCAUUGAGUUUGACUCAACCGAGGCUGCUGUUAACCCAAAGACGGGUCUAAUGAUGUGUUUACACUGCUUCGAGGAUGUUGACAGCAAUUUGUUAGCUGACCAUAUGAUUAAUGCUCACAGUUAUAGAAGAUUGCAACUUAAAUGUCGCAUUUGUGAUACUACAUUCCAGG